rnacentral:rRNA from 2 species
GAGGUCACACCUGUUCCCAUGCCGAACACAGAAGUUAAGCUCCUUAGCGUCGAUGGUAGUCGAACUUACGUUCCGCUAGAGUAGAACGUUGCCAGGC